UGGAGCUGAAAUCAGUCGAAGAUACCAGCUGGCUGCAACUGUUUAUUAAAAACACAGCACUGUGCAAACACGAAAGUGGACGUAUACGGUGUGACGCCUGCCCGGUGCCGGAAGGUUAAUUGAUGGGGUUAUCCGUAAGGAGAAGCUCUUGAUCGAAGCCCCGGUAAACGGCGGCCGUAACUAUAACGGUCCUAAGGUAGCGAAAUUCCUUGUCGGGUAAGUUCCGACCUGCACGAAUGGCGUCAUGAUGGCCAGGCUGUCUCCACCCGAGACUCAGUGAAAUUGAACUCGCUGUGAAGAUGCAGUGUACCCGCGGCAAGACGGAAAGACCCCGUGAACCUUUACUAUAGCUUGACACUGAACACUGGUCCUUGAUGUGUAGGAUAGGUGGGAGGCUUUGAAGUGUGGACGCCAGUCUGCAUGGAGCCAUCCUUGAAAUACCACCCUUUAAUGGCUGGUGUUCUAACGUGGACCCGUUACCCGGGUUGCGGACAGUGUCUGGUGGGUAGUUUGACUGGGGCGGUCUCCUCCUAAAGAGUAACGGAGGAGCACGAAGGUUAGCUAAUCCUGGUCGGACAUCAGGAGGUUAGUGCAAAGGCAUAAGCUAGCUUGACUGCGAGAGUGACGGCUCGAGCAGGUGCGAAAGCAGGUCUUAGUGAUCCGGUGGUUCUGAAUGGAAGGGCCAUCGCUCAACGGAUAAAAGGUACUCCGGGGAUAACAGGCUGAUACCGCCCAAGAGUUCAUAUCGACGGCGGUGUUUGGCACCUCGAUGUCGGCUCAUCACAUCCUGGGGCUGAAGUAGGUCCCAAGGGUAUGGCUGUUCGCCAUUUAAAGUGGUACGCGAGCUGGGUUUAGAACGUCGUGAGACAGUUCGGUCCCUAUCUGCCGUGGGCGCUGGAGAAUUGAGGGGGGCUGCUCCUAGUACGAGAGGACCGGAGUGGACGCAUCACUGGUGUUCGGGUUGUCAUGCCAAUGGCAUUGCCCGGUAGCUAAAUGCGGAAGAGAUAAGUGCUGAAAGCAUCUAAGCACGAAACUUGCCCCGAGAUGAGUUCUCCCUGAGACUAUAAGUCUCCUGAAGGAACGUUGAAGACGACGACGUUGAUAGGUCGGGUGUGUAAGUGUAGCGAUACAUUGAGCUAACCGAUACUAAUGAACCGUGAGGCUUAACCUU
rnacentral:rRNA from 1 species